rnacentral:rRNA from 1 species
UAGGGAAUAUUAGAAAUGGACGAAAGUCUGAUCUAGCAACACCGCGUGUGCGAAGAAGGCCUUCGGGUUGUAAAGCACUUUUUGGAAGGAUUAGGAAGGAAUGUACUUCCAGAAUAAGUCUCGGCUAACUGCGUGCCAGCAGCCGCGGUAACACGUAGGAGGCAAACGUUAUCCGGAUUUACUGGGCGUAAAGCGCGUGUAGGUGGUUCUGUAAGUAGGGCGUGAAAGCUCCUGGCUCAACUGGGAGAGGCCGUUCUAAACUGCAGAGCUAGAGGAUGGUAGAGGGAGGUGGAAUUCCGGGUGUAGCGGUGAAAUGCGCAGAUAUCCGGAGGAACACCAGUGGCGAAAGCGGCCUCCUGGACCAUUCCUGACACUCGGACGCGAAAGCUAGGGUAGCAAACGG